rnacentral:rRNA from 1 species
AUGCUACCACUACCCGUCCACCUGUCCUUCAUGCGCAGCCACUACUGGGUGGGCAUGAAGGCCAACUGGAUCGUCCUCGUCCACCAAUCCGGUAGUCCGUGGCAUCUUGUGGAUAUCUACACCCAGCAAGAGAUCACCCUUCCAUCGUUGGAUACCGCCGCCAUCGAGCCCGCGGCCCGCCGGACACUCCUUCCUACUACGCACGAGACGCGUCAAGCUUUUGGCUCGACCUCUUACCAUAUAACUGGAAUUAACCGAUGCAAGUCGAAGAAGGAUUGGCUGGUGCUGCCGGCUGGCGUCAAGUUCGAUCCCACGGAUCAGGAGCUGAUCGAGCACCUUGAGGCCAAAGUGAGUGCUGACAGCGCGAGAUCUCACCCUCUCAUCGAUUUGUUCAUACCAACCAUCGACAGCGAGCACGGCAUAUGCUACACCCAUCCUGAGAAACUUCCAGACCAGCGCAAUUCCAGGGCGUUCCAAAGGGGCACGUGGACGCGUCGCAAGAUACAGUCGGAGUGCGGCAUGCACGCGAUGUGGCACAACACCGGCAAUACCGUGCCGGUGAUGGUGAACGGCCGGCAGAUGGGCAGCAAAAUGGUUCUGGUGCUGCACACCAACAAGAACAUCGACCAGCAGAGGACCAACUGGGUGAUGCACCAGUACCACCUCGGGGACCUGCAGCAAGAGAAGGAGCGGGAGCUGGUCCUCUGCAAGAUUUUCUACCAGACGAACACUAGGGCCAGGAGUAAAAAGAUUAUAAGUUAG